rnacentral:rRNA from 1 species
GUACGUCUACGAAGGAGUAGUUAGUACACUGGCUCAGGAUAAACGCUGGCGGCGUGCAUAUGCAUGCAAGUCGAACGGGACUCGCAAGAGUCUAGUGGCAAACGGGUGAGUAACACAUAGGUAACCUGUCCACGAGUGGGGAAUAACUCGCCGAAAGGCGGACUAAUACCGCAUACGAUGGCUUCUCACAAGAGAGGUCAUGAAAAGCAGCAAUGCGCUGGUGGAGGGGCCUGUGACCGAUUAGUUUGUUGGUGGGGUAACGGCCUACCAAGACUGUGACCGGUAGCUGGUCUGAGAGGAUGGUCAGCCACAUUGGGACUGAGACACGGCCCAAACUCCUACGGGAGGCAGCAGCAAGGAAUUUUGCGCAAUGGGCGAAAGCCCUGACGCAGCAACGCCGCGUGAAGGAUGAAGGCCUUCGGGUUGUAAACUUCUUUUAUAAGGGAAGAAUGAUGACGGUACCUUAUGAAUAAGCUUCGGCUAACUACGUGCCAGCCGCCGC